GAUGAACGCUAGCGAUAGGCUUAACACAUGCAAGUCGAGGGGCAGCAUGGUCUUAGCUUGCUAAGACUGAUGGCGACCGGCGCACGGGUGCGUAACGCGUAUGCAACUUGCCUCACAGAGGGGGAUAACCCGUCGAAAGACGGACUAAUACCGCGUACACUUGGGAUAGGGCAUCCUGACCCAAGGAAAUGAAAUUCGCUGUGAGAUAGGCAUGCGUCCCAUUAGCUAGUUGGUGAGGUAACGGCUCACCAAGGCGACGAUGGGUAGGGGAACUGAGAGGUUGAACCCCCACACUGGUACUGAGACACGGACCAGACUCCUACGGGAGGCAGCAGUGAGGAAUAUUGGUCAAUGGGCGAGAGCCUGAACCAGCCAAGUCGCGUGAAGGAUGACUGUCUUAUGGAUUGUAAACUUCUUUUAGACGGGAAUAACAAGAGCCACGUGAGGCUCCCUGCAUGUACCGUAUGAAUAAGCAUCGGCUAACUCCGUG
rnacentral:rRNA from 1 species